UACGUAGGGUGCAAGCGUUAGUCGGAAUUACUGGGCGUAAAGCGUGCGCAGGCGGUUUCGUAAGUCUGUCGUGAAAUCCCCGGGCUUAACCUGGGGAAUGGCCAUGGAAACUGGCGAACUGGAGUGUGGCAGAGGGGGGUGGGAAUUCCGCGUGUAGCAGUGAAAUGCGUAGAGAUGCGGAGGAACACCGAUGGCGAAGGCAGCCCCCUGGGCCGACACUGACGCUCAUGCACGAAAGCGUGGGGAGCAAACAGG
rnacentral:rRNA from 1 species